rnacentral:rRNA from 1 species
AGCGAACGCUGGCGGCAGGCCUAACACAUGCAAGUCGAACGAACUCUUCGGAGUUAGUGGCGGACGGGUGCGUAACACGUGGGAACGUGCCUUUUGGUUCGGAAUAACUCAGGGAAACUUGUGCUAAUACCGAAUGUGCUCUUCGGGGGAAAGAUUUAUCGCCAUUAGAUCGGCCCGCGUCGGAUUAGCUAGUUGGUGAGGUAACGGCCCACCAAGGCGACGAUCAGUAGCUGGUCUGAGAGGAUGACCAGCCACACUGGGACUGAGACACGGCCCAGACUCCUACGGGAGGCAGCAGUGGGGAAUCUUGCGCAAUGGGCGAAAGCCUGACGCAGCCAUGCCGCGUGAAUGAUGAAGGUCUUAGGAUUGUAAAAUUCUUUCACCGGGGACGAUAAUGACGGUACCCGGAGAAGAAGCCCCGGCUAACUUCGUG